rnacentral:rRNA from 1 species
AUGUGGUUUAAUUUAUUCGCAACGCGAAGAACCUUCCNUAGGCUUGACAUACACGGGAAACCCCCCCGAAAAGGGGGGCCCUCUUCGGAGGUCGUGCACAGGUGGUGCAUGGCUGUUGUCAGCUCGUGUCGUGAGAUGUUGGGUUAAGUCCCGCAACGAGCGCAACCCCUGUUUCUAGUUGCCAGCGGGUAAAGCCGGGGACUCUAGGGAGACUGCCGGUGCCAAACCGGAGGAAGGUGGGGAGGACGUCAAGUCAUCAUGGUCCUUACGUCCAGGGGUACACACGUGCUACAAUGGGCGGUACAAAGGGUUGCGAGACGGCAAGGGGGAGCCAAUCCCGUAAACCCCGCCUCAGUUCGGAUUGUCGUUUGCAACUCGACGGCAGAAGGGGAAUUGCUAGUAA